rnacentral:rRNA from 1 species
GUCUAUGGCCAUGCUACCCUGAACAAGCCUGAUCCCGUCUGAUCUCAGAAGCUAAGCAGGGUCAGGCCUGGUUAGUACUUGGAUGGGAGACCACCUAGGAAGACCAGGUGCUGUAGGCG